GAGAGGGAGCCCCUCAUCUAACUCACCUCCUCCAUUUCAUUUUCCUGCUCUAGGUUUUCCCCCUCCCCUUAGUCUUCCAUGCGAGAGAGGUCUACAAAUUCAAGGAUUUGUAUAAGAACUCGCUUUUGCUGCGGGAAUGGAGGCCUUAACCUCCUCGUGUCCUCCGGGAUUCAUUUGGUGAGAUGUUUUUGUGAAUCGCGUUUGUGUUCUUCGCGUUCUUGCUCUCACCCCUCUCGUUCUUGCUUCGAUUCAUCGUUUUAAGACCGAUUUGACUCGUUCUUUUUGUGUUGAUUUGAUCUAUGACGUGAGUUGAGCCUUUCCACCGAAGGAAAUCAACCAAUUCCUCACGAGCUCAUUGAUUCAGGCGAAUCAAAUUUUCGGGGAGAAAAACCGGUGUUUUUCACGUUCUUCCGAUUUCCCGUUGAUUGGCUUCAAAUUGGGCGAUGAUCUCUUAGAGAUAGCUCCCCAACUGCCUUAUGAUUAUGCUCACGAAGUUUGGUGGCAGUUGGUGUUGAUUUGGCCACAAAAUCGAAGGAUUGAAGGUGGAGGCGAUUGGAAAUCGCUUUCUGCUCUCUGCGUGAUUCGUGGAUAUUCCGGGCCUGAUCCGUGGACAAUCCGCCAAUUGGGGUUUGGCAGGAGCAUAAACUACGUUUUCUGAGUGUUUUCUGGCUUUUGAACUGCGGACAGUCCGAAAAUUUUCACGGACAGUCCGCCGUUCAUUUUUCGCCGAGACUCGGAACCGGUCCUAGGAAGUUCGCGUUUCUGAUUUUUGAACUGCGGACAGUCCGUGGUACUGUAGCAGACUGCGCAGACAGCGGACAGUCCAUGGUACUGUAGCAGCCUGUCGGAGGUACCGUAGCGGACAGUGCGCGGGUACUGUACCGGACACUCCGCGAGUUAUAUUUUUGUGCGCAGUUUGUUCGUUUGAGUUUCAAAUCACGUUCCGUCUCUUGCGGUUGGGUUUCUACCUUACCAAGGAUUCUUUUUUACUCUUGUCACGAGUUGGCUUGGAUAUCUUUACUUCAAGAAUUUCGUUUGUGCUUGAGAUAAUUUUGGGACAGCGGCCUAAUAUUUGAACCUCUAGUCGCCCAAAUGAAGGGGAACAAUUAUGCACAUGACGUUGAAUCCAUACGGACGAGAGAGAGAGUGAUUGUGUGGAUAACUCCGUCUAUGUUGGAUAGGCUAGGGUUCAAACCACAUCCAUGCUUUAUAGUCUGAAAGCUAAGGAGGCAAAAAAUAAAAAAAUAAUAAAAAAAUAGACGGAGUAUGUGGGAAGCCAUCUUCAUGUCGCUAUGUCACUAGUGUGAAUGGGCUUGCAUUGGUUUAUUUGUCUAUAUAUGCUGGUUGUCUGCAAGUUAGGUUGGAGCCAAACCCAAUCAGUCUGGCCAAACUAGAUUUUGGGUUGGGAAAUAAACCACUCAAAGACAGGUUCUCUGCAUUGUUUAAUAUUGUGAGAAAAAAACAAGAUUCUAUUGUGACAGUGCUGAGUUCUCGUAACCUAAACAUCUCCUUUAGAAGGAAUUUGAUUGGAAGGAAUUUAGCAAACUGGCAGAGAAUUGUUGCUUCUUUACAACAGAUUAAUCUAAUACAGGAACAAGAUGUGUUUGUAUAAAAUCUAAGCACGUCAGGUGUCUUUACAGUCAAGUUUAUGUAUACUGCUUUAAUUAACAACGGGAAGCGAGUUUCACAGGAUAUUUGGCAAACAAAGUUACCAAUGAGGAUAAAAAUCUUUAUGUGGUACUUAAGGAGAGGAGUAACUCUAACUAAAGAUAACUUAGCUUGAAUGAAUUGGCAUGGAAACAAAUCGUGUUGUCUCUGUCAUCUUCCAGAAACGAUUCAACAUCUUUUUUUAUUGCUUCUAUGCCAAAUUUCUGUGGCGCGCUAUUCAUAUUCUUUACGGUAUUGUUCCACCCACUAGUAUCGACGAUUUCUUUGAUUAUUGGUCCAAACAAGGAAAUAAAAAAUUAAAUACGUUGUUAUUAACAGCAGCAACAGCUCUAUUGUGGGCUAUAUGGAUAUCACGGAAUGAAAUAGUUUUUGAUAAAUGUAAACCUAAAUCUUUGUUGUAGGUACUUUUCAGAGGAACUCACUGGUUGCGCCAAUGGGCGAGCUUGCAGCGGCUUGAAGGCCUAAAAGAUUAGCUCGUCACAGUAGCAGUUCACCUAGAGACGUCGGCUCUAGCGUUUUUUAGUUCCAAUGGGUGGCUUGCACACACACAUCUUGGUUUCGUUUAGUCAAAAUCUUUUUCCCUUUUCUGGUGGUCUUGUGUGGGGCUGUUAUUUUCAGCCAAACUUGGGACAGUUGCUCAUUGUAAUAAUUAGACCGAUUCUAUCUACGGAUAGAUGAAGCCGGAUAUUUAUCCUUUAUCUAAAAAAUAGUCGUCUGGCCAGCCUACGUGCCAAAUCAGUUUUGGUGUGAGCAGGUAGCAGUACUUCUACGUUUCUUAUGCAAUUAUCAGUUUCUGUACUAUAUACGAGGGUAUUGUCAAUGUGAGCAUGAAGGAGACCCGGGCCCAGACCUAACCGCUGCAGCACAAGGAUAGACAAGGUCAGGACAGGAGGCUAUAAGAGCCGUGAGAACCUAGAUCAAUUCUCAUUGUACACAAACAACACAUCAAGCGGCUAUUGUGACGACUGACGAUGGGUGUAACCAGGCAUGGGAUCGGAG
rnacentral:lncRNA from 1 species